GAAUGUUACAGUGAGCAGCUCUCCACUGUCCAGCCAUCCAGGAUGCUGGAAAUGUCCUGCUUACUGUGGCUUAGAAACAAACAUCACAGAGAUUCCGUAUUCACACUUCAAUCCAGAUUUGGGCAGUUAAAAAGAAAAGCAAAAUGUGAGAACUCUCCCUCAAAAUAUUCUGUGCUCAAGACUCCUGUGGAAACCUGCAGGAAGGCCAGGUAAUGAAGGAAUUAUAAAGAGGGUUGGGAAAGCACACGGCAUGGACAAAAGGUAAGAAAUUAGUAUUUCUGAUAUAAGGUCUUUCAACAUUGAAAAUUUGUACUCUGGUAAUAAUCAGCAAAAUAUAUUUUUUCCCCUCUCCUUAUGUUUAGGGGAUAUAGUCUUGCAGUUUAGCCUGGCAAACAGUUAAGCACCACACUGCCAUUCAGUCACUCCUC
rnacentral:lncRNA from 1 species